rnacentral:rRNA from 1 species
GUAGGGAAUAUUGGGCAAUGGUCGGAAGACUGACCCAGCCAUGCCGCGUGCAGGAAGACGGCCCUCUGGGUUGUAAACUGCUUUUAUCUGGGAAGAAAAAGGUCAUGCGUGGCAAAUUGCCGGUACCAGAUGAAUAAGCACCGGCUAACUCCGUGCCAGCAGCCGCGGUAAUACGGAGGGUGCAAGCGUUGUCCGGAUUUAUUGGGUUUAAAGGGUGCGUAGGCGGCUGCUUAGGUCAGCGGUGAAAGACUCCGGCUUAACCGGAGCAGUAGCGUUGAUACUGGGUAGCUUGAGUGUUGGAGCGGUACAUGGAAUUGAUGGUGUAGCGGUGAAAUGCAUGGAUACCAUCAGGAACACCGAUAGCGAAGGCAUUGUACUGGCCAACAACUGACGCUGAUGCACGAAAGUGUGGGGAUCGAACAGGAUUAGAAACCCGGGUGGACC